rnacentral:rRNA from 1 species
GAUGAACGCUGGCGGCGUGCUUAGCACAUGCAAGUCAAACGAUGAAGCUCAGCUUGCUGGGUGGAUUAGUGGCGAACGGGUGAGUAACACGUGAGUAACCUGCCCUUAACUCUGGGAUAAGCCUGGGAAACUAGGUCUAAUACCGGAUAGGAGCGCCUACCGCAUGGUGGGUGUUGGAAAGAUUUAUCGGUUUUGGAUGGACUCGCGGCCUAUCAGCUUGUUGGUGAGGUAAUGGCUCACCAAGGCGACGACGGGUAGCCGGCCUGAGAGGGUGACCGGCCAAACUGGGACUGAGACACGGCCAAGACCCCUCCGGGAGGCAGCAGUGGGGAAUAUUGCACAAUGGGCGAAGGCCUGAUGCAGCGACGCCGCGUGGGGGAUGACGGCCUUCGGGUUGUAAACCUCUUUCAGUAGGGAAGAAGCGAAAGUGACGGUACCUGCAGAAGAAGCACCGGCUAACUACGU